UACGGGGGGGGCAAGCGUUGUUCGGAAUUACUGGGCGUAAAGGGUUCGUAGGUGGUCAACUAAGUCAGACGUGAAAUCCCUCAGCUUAACUGGGGAACUGCGUCUGAUACUGGAUGGCUUGAGUGCAGGAGAGGAACGCGGAAUUCCAGGUGUAGCGGUGAAAUGCGUAGAUAUCUGGAGGAACACCGGUGGCGAAGGCGGCGUUCUGGAUUGCAACUGACACUGAUGAACGAAAGCCAGGGGAGCAAACGGG
rnacentral:rRNA from 1 species